UCUUUGAAAAGGGAAUAUUUAGAACCAGAUGAAAAACAGUGUGUCGACCACACUGGCUGGAAUAUAACUCAAGGGAUAGAAUUCCGAUCAGCAGAGAUGCGAACAGGUGAAAUCCUUAGCUAGUUAGGUAACUAACCCGCUCGGAGCUACUCAGUGGCAAGGGAGUUAUAGGUGCAGCUAUAUCAGUGUCAAAAAUAAUGCUAAACUGUUCGGGGCAAAUCGGGAGACCAACAUGGGCGUACCCACAUAUCCCACUACUGGAGACAGUGGUAAGGGCAAUGAGUGAAGAUCGCUAAAGCCUUUGCGUAAUUGAAGCAUCGCAAGAUGUGUAUAAGAACAGACGGCAGUCCAAGUAGCCUAAAUUUACGCUUCUAUUAACAAUUAUGAUUGCGUUUAGUGCGAAAAAAGCAAUUUACUGUACACAAAAGGUGUAAAUGUCUAUCGCAGGUGAAAGGUGCAACGAAAGAUGUUGUCAGGGCAAGUCGGAAGCCUAUGGCUUUGGCUAAACGUGGAGGUGCAGGCAUGCACCAAGGGCGGUUAGUCCCCUGUGUGUGAAUAUUGGCUGGGAUAUGGUGUGUAUAAGGAGGACUUACUAAAUAUUCUUUUUUCAAA
rnacentral:ncRNA from 1 species